ACCAGGGGCUGAUAGUCCUGACGU
rnacentral:siRNA from 1 species